GAUGAACGCUAGCUACAGGCUUAACACAUGCAAGUCGAGGGACCGGCGCACGGGUGAGUCACACGUAUCCAACCUGCCCUUUACUCGGGGAUAGCCUUUCGAAAGAAAGAUUAAUACCCGAUAUAAAGGAUGGGGAUGCGUUCUAUUAGGUUGUUGGUGAGGUAACGGUCCACCAAGCCUUCGAUGGAUAGGGGUUCUGGGAGGAAGGUCCCCCAGAUUGGGACUGAGACCCGAUCCAAACUGCUGCGGGAGGCAGCAGUGAGGAAUAUAGGUCAAUGAGCGGUAGCCUGAACCAGCCAAGUAGCGUGAAGGAUGAAGGCUUAUGGGUCGUAAACUUCUUUUAUAUAAGAAUAUGUAUUAUAUGAAUAAGGAUCGGCUAACUCCGUGCCAGCAGCCGCGGUAAUAC
rnacentral:rRNA from 1 species